rnacentral:rRNA from 1 species
CCUACGGGGGGCAGCAGUGGGGAAUCUUGCGCAAUGGGCGAAAGGCUGACGCAGCGACGCCGCGUGGAGGAUGACGCCCUUCGGGGUGUAAACUCCUGUUGCCCGGGACGAAUGCCUGUUUCGACAGGAGUGACGGUACCGGGUGAGGAAGCACCGGCUAACUCUGUGCCAGCAGCCGCGGUAAUACAGAGGGUGCGAGCGUUGUCCGGAAUCACUGGGCGUAAAGGGCGCGUAGGCGGUCGGGUAAGCGUGUGGUGAAAGUCCGGGGCUCAACCCCGGAUCGGCCAUGCGAACUGUCCGACUGGAGCACGGUAGAGGCACAUGGAAUUCCGGGUGUAGCGGUGGAAUGCGUAGAGAUCCGGAAGAACACCGGUGGCGAAGGCGGUGUGCUGGGCCGUAGCUGACGCUGAGGCGCGACAGCGUGGGGAGCAAACAGGCUUAGAUACCCGGGUAGUC